rnacentral:rRNA from 1 species
AUGAAGGCAUACAUCAUGGCGGAAAGUUACGCCAUCUGGGAGAAAGGCGCCAAGCCCUACGUGCUUCCCGCAGACGAUGCGAUCACGCCAGCAAACUUGGUUCAUGUGGAGAACAACUACAAGGCGAGGAACUUCAUCAUCCAAGGUCUACAACAGAGUGACUUCGACCGUGUCUCUCACCUUGCAUCCGCUCAUGAGGUAUGGAACGCACUUUGUAGCUAUCAUGAAGGAUCAAACUCAGUUAAGGAAGUGCGUCAGGACAUGUACAAAAAGGAGUACAUGAGGUUUGAGAUGAAAACAGGUGAAUCUUUGGAUGAAUUUUUUGCUCGCUUUAAUAAGAUUCUCAGCAAUUUACGUGCAUUAGGUGUUACCUAUACUGAAGCUGAGACUUCUAGGCAGCUUUUGAGUGCUUUAGAUAUGUCCAUCUGGGAGAUGAAAUUUACAUCUAUUAGAGAGUCUACUGUCAUGAGCACACUUACACUUGAUAUCUUAUAUUCAAAAUUGAAAACUCAUGAAUUAGAUAUUCUUGCUAGGAGAACUGGUUCUAAAUCAAUUGCUCUUGUUACUAACCCUACCAGCUCAAAUGAUGGUACUUCUUCGCAUUGCUAUGCACUGUCUUCUUUGUCUCAACUAACUGAUGAACAGCUAGAGCAAUGCCCAGAAGAAGAAUUGGCACUCCUCACUUCUCGUUUUUCACGUGCCCUACAAAAUGUUCGCUCAAGGAAGAGAGGUGGGAACAACGCUCCAAGGUGUUUUGAAUGUGGUGAUCCCAACCACUUUCGCCAAAACUGCCCCAAGUUUUUAUCCAAGAUGGCGAAAGAAGGGGAUAGGGAUAAUUCUGUCAAGGAGAACAAGAAGAAUAAGCACACUUUCAACAUCAAGAAUAAGAAGAGGGGUGACUUUGCUCGAGCAGUGGCUCAAAGUAUUUUCUCGGUCAUCGAUGAAUAUGGUGAACCAUGCUUGAGUGAUGUGGACAUCGAAUCCGAUGAAGAUGAUGCAACCAAAGCCAAGCACGACAUUAGUGGGAUGUGUCUUAUGGCUACUAGCAAAAGCGCUACCUCCUGCGACGACUACAACAGCGACAACAACAAUGAGGCACUUCGCGCGAGGAAGGAGAACAUAUGGCUCGUGGACUCCGGUUGUUCUCGUCACAUGACCGGUGAUAAAAAAUGGUUCUCCUCCCUCACACGUGCAUCUCGGGCUGAGAGUGUAACUUUUGGAGAUGCUUCUACUUCUACUGUUGUAGCAAAAGGUACAGUAAAGGUAACCGACAAAUUUAUGUUCAAAGAUGUUGCUUUGGUUGAAAAUCUGAAAUACAACUUGUUGUCGGUUUCACAAAUGAUUGAUGAGGAUCUUGAAGUUUCAUUUAAGAAAAAUGCUUGCAAAGUUUUAGAUGCUUCAGAUGAUCUUGUCUUUGAGAUAUCACGCUUUGGGAGAGUUUUUAAGGCUGAUUUUCAUGCUUCUUCAAAUGUUAAGUUUAGGUGUCUAGUUGCCAAUACAUCUACAGAUUUAUUCUUUUGGCAUCGUAGACUUGGGCAUAUUGGUUUUGAUCAUCUCACUCGUAUAAGUGGUAUGAAUCUUAUAAAUGGUUUGCCUAAACUUAAGAGAGAAAAAGAUUUUGUAUGCUCUCCUUGUAGACAUGGUAAGAUGGUUGCAGGUUCACAUGCACGCAUUACCAGUGUCAUGACUAACGCUCCAGGACAACUUCUACAUCUUGAUACGGUUGGUCCAUCAAGGGUACAAUCUUUUGGUGGUAAGUGGUAUGUUUUGGUUAUUGUUGAUGAUUAUUCAAGAUAUUCUUGGGUUUAUUUUAUGGCAUCUAAGGAUGAGGCUUUUAGUCACUUUAAGAGUCUUGUGCAUAGACUAAGUGUUGAGCACCCAGGAUCUUUGAAAACAAUAAGAAGUGAUAAUGGAACUGAAUUUAAGAAUUCAUAUUUUAAUCACUUUUGUGAUGAAUUUGUCAUUGAGCAUCAAUUUUCUUCACCUUAUGUACCACAACAAAAUGGUGUAGUGGAGCGUAAGAAUAGAACUCUAGUUGAGAUGGCCCGUACUAUGCUUGAUGAAUUUUCUACUCCUAGAAAGUUUUGGGCUGAAGCUAUAUCUACUGCUUGUUAUGUUUCAAAUCGUGUGUUCUUGAGAUCUAAAAUUGGCAAAACACCAUAUGAACUACGAUUUGGGCGUAAACCUGUUGUAUCUCACCUAAGAGUUUUUGGUUGUAAAUGCUUUGUGCUUAAAUCUGGCAAUCUAGAUAAGUUUGAAUCAAGAUCAUAUGAUGGCAUUUUCCUUGGAUAUCCUACUCAUUCACGUGGUUACCGUGUUUAUGUUUAUGAGACUAACCGACUAAUGGAAACCAGUGAAGUGACUUUUGAUGAGGCUAGUUCUGGCUCUAGUCCUCGUAUUUAUGAUGCAGGAACAUAUGUUCAGGGUGAGGAAAUCUUUGUAGAUGAUGAAGAUGACGAGGAGGAUGACGUGCCCCCUGCUGUCCCUGCGCCAACUGCAGCUAUUCCUACACCUACAACAACUGCUGCUACAGCUGGACAUCCUCAAGAGUCUACUUCAACUACAAAUGUUGGGGAUGAGCAUGCUGCGGAGUCAAAUAUUUCAGCACCCCGACAUAUUCAGAAAAGGCACCCUCCUGAGCAGAUUAUUGGAAGCAUGGCUGAGAGAGUCACACAGUCAAGGUUUAUCGAUUCUGACUAUCAUACUCAUUCAGCAUUUGUUGCUUCUUUUGAGCCCAAAGAUAUAUCUCAUGCAUUAACUGAUGAAUCGUGGAUCAAUGCCAUGCAUGAGGAAUUAGAAAAUUUUGAGCGUAACAAAGUUUGGACUUUGGUUUCACCUCCUUCUAGUCAUACUCUUAUUGGAACUCGUUGGGUUUUCAAAAACAAACAAAGUGAGGAUGGUGUUAUUGUUCGCAACAAGGCUAGGCUGGUUGCUCAGGGUUUUACUCAAGUUGAAGGUCUUGAUUUUGACGAAACUUUUGCUCCUGUUGCUAGAUUGGAAGCUAUAAGAAUUUUAUUGACAUUUGCUGCAUCUAAAGGUUUUAAGCUUUAUCAAAUGGAUGUUAAAAGUGCUUUUCUUAAUGGCUUUAUUGAUGAGGAGGUUUAUGUUAAGCAACCACCUUGUUUCGAGAAUCCAAAGUUUCCCAACCAUGUUUAUAAACUUUCAAAAGCUUUGUAUGGUUUAAAACAAGCCCCACGUUCAUGGUAUGAUAGGCUGAAAACGUUUUUAAUUGGAAAGGGGUUUACCAUGGGUAACGUUGAUAAAACACUCUUUGUACUCAAACAUGGCAAUGAUCAAAUUUUCGUACAAGUUUAUGUUGAUGAUAUUAUCCUUGGGUGUGCUUCUCAUGCUUUGGUGUCAGAAUUUUCAGAAACUAUGAGCAGGGAAUUUGAAAUGAGCAUGAUGGGUGAACUUACUUACUUUUUGGGACUGCAAAUCAAACAAACAAAGGAUGGCACCUUUGUGCAUCAAAGUAAGUAUACGAAGGAUCUUCUACGGCGCUUUGGGAUGGAAAACUGCAACCCUAUUAUGACACCAAUGGGAUCUACGGCGUCACUUGAUCUUGAUGAGGAAGGUGAACCUGUUGACCAAAAGAUGUAUAGGAGUAUGAUUGGUUCACUUCUUUAUCUCGCCGCUUCUAGACCGGAUAUACAAUUUUCUGUAUGCUUGUGUGCACGGUUUCAAGCUUCCCCAUGUGCAUCACAUCUACAAGCUGUCAAGCGGAUCUUCAGGUAUCUACAUGGCACCCAAUCUUUUGGCAUUUGGCUUUCUGCUUCCUCGAGUAUUUCAUUGCGUGCAUUUUCAGACGCUGAUUUUGGAGGUUGUAGAAUUGAUAGAAAGAGUACAUCUGGCACAUGCUUAUUUUUGGGUGAUUCAUUAGUACUUUGGUCUUCUAAGAAACAAAGUUUUGUUGCACAAUCUACUGCUGAAAGUGAAUAUGUAGCUGCUGCUUGUUGUUGCUCACAGAUUUUGUGGAUAAUAGCUACAAUGAAAUAUUAUGGGGUUACUCUAGAAAGUGUACCACUUUAUUGUGAUAACACUAGUGCUAUAUGUAUUGCUAAAAACCCUGUGCAACAUUCUCGAACUAAGCACAUAGACAUAAGAUAUCAUUUUCUUAGAGAUCAUGUUGAAAAAAGAAAUGUUGUGCUACAUUUUAUAGAUACUGAACGUCAAUUGGCAGACAUUUUCACUAAACCAUUGGAUUCUUCUCGGUUUGCUUUUCUUCGAGGUGAACUUGGAGUAAUCAAACCAUACGGGAUGGUUUGA